GGCGGAUUAGUGUAGUGGCCUAGCACGUAGCUCUCUCACGGCUGAAACUCGGGUUCGAUUCCCGGAUCCGCUACCA
rnacentral:tRNA from 1 species